UCUGCAACCAAGGACACUUUUAGCCUCAUUUCCUGAUCUUACAGCCUCACCUGCGGUGCUGCUGAGCGGCUGGGCAGGAAUGCAGCACACAGGACUUGCUCUCGUGGCCUUGGCUGCCUGUGUGGCUCUUCAUCCCUCGGAAGCUAUACUUCCCAUUGCCUCCAGCUGCUGCACUGAGGUUUCACAUCAUAUUUCCAGAAGGCUUCUAGAAAGAGUGAAUACAUGUCGCCUUCAGAGAGCUGAUGGGGAUUGUGACUUGGCUGCUGUCAUCCUUCAUGUCAAGCGCAGAAGAAUCUGUGUCAGCCCUCACAAUCAUCUUAUUAAGCAGUGGAUGAAAGAACAAGCAGCCAAGAAAGAUGCUAAAGGCAACAUUUGCCAUAAGAAGAAACAUCACAGCAAGAGGAACAGUAAAGGGGCACAUCAGGAGAAGCAUGAAACACAUGGCCAUAAAACUCCUUAUUAGAGAGGGUACAGAUGAAGCUACACAGACAGUCCUGGCUGAACUUGGCCAUGGUUGAUUAUAUUUCAGAGACUAGGCCAGAACCUGUGCCACAUUCUGGGUUUAUCUCUUCCCUCAGAAUCACUUUCAGAUGUCACAUUUUUUGCUCAGCAGUGGGCCCUAGAAGGUGUGGACCUGGAGGUGGGGCAGAAGAGGAGGAAUUCAGGUAAAGAUCUGUGCAUCUGGUGCUCCACAAAGGGCCAGGGGAAGCCUGCUGACAGUUGGGUCUAGAAUUAAAAUGUUGCAACUGGCAUUGGUGCACUGAUAGUGGCAACAACCACUUUCCUAGAUUAAAAGAGGCUCCAUCCUGAUUGUAUUGAGUUUUGUGCUCUUAGGCAGUGGAGGAAACUGCACACUAUUUAUAGUCUUUGUUUUGCAAAAUCUCCCUCACCAAGUUCUUUUCAACAUAAAGGCAGGUUUUGUCAAAAAAUACAGCAUUCUUCCACUCAACCCCAUCAUGCUUUUUAAAGGAUAGUGUGAUAAAACAGAUAAACCUGAGGAAAAUGAUUCCUAAAUGUCCUAGUCUGUGACAGCUGCUAUAACAAAACACUACAUACUGGGUGACUUAAAAGCAGCAGACAUUCAUUUCCCACAGUUCUGGAGGCUGGGAAGUCCAGGAUCAGGUGUUGGCAGAUUCAGUGGCGUGGCUGUCUUUUGGGUUGGAGACUGCUGACUUCUCCCUGUGUCCUCACAUGGCGGGAAGGACUAUGGAGUCCUCUGGAACCUCUUUUAUAGCACACAUGCCACUCAUGAGCACUCCACCUUCCCUACAAAAGCACAUCCCAAAGGCCCCAUCUACUAAUACCAUCACCUUUGGGGGUUAGGAUUUCCACAUACGAGUUUUAUGUGGUGGACCAUAGCACUAAAUAUUCUUUUUUUCCCCUUUUUUCUUUUUACGGCCACACCUGCG